GACGAACGCUGGCGGCGUGCUUAACACAUGCAAGUCGAACGGAAAGGCCCUGCUUUUGUGGGGUGCUCGAGUGGCGAACGGGUGAGUAACACGUGAGUAACCUGCCCUUGACUUUGGGAUAACUUCAGGAAACUGGGGCUAAUACCGGAUAGGAGCUCCUGCUGCAUGGGGGGGGUUGGAAAGUUUCGGCGGUUGGGGAUGGACUCGCGGCUUAUCAGCUUGUUGGUGGGGUAGUGGCUUACCAAGGCUUUGACGGGUAGCCGGCCUGAGAGGGUGACCGGCCACAUUGGGCCUGAAAUACGGCCCAGUCUCCUACGGGAGGCAGCAGUGGGGAAUAUUGCACAAUGGGCGGAAGCCUGAUGCAGCAACGCCGCGUGCGGGAUGACGGCCUUCGGGUUGUAAACCGCUUUCGCCUGUGACGAAGCGUGAGUGACGGUAAUGGGUAAAGAAGCACCGGCUAACUACGUG
rnacentral:rRNA from 1 species